rnacentral:misc_RNA from 1 species
UUUUGCGAACCCUAAUUCUUGAAGCUGGCCUCCACUCAGCCUCCCUCUCACUCUCACGCUCUCAUACUCUCUCUUCUCUUUCACCGCUGAGAUUGAACUACACUAACAAAUCAUAGUUAGUCAGGGACACACAGAAACACUGUUUCUUCCACCAUGAGUUUCGCGGCGUACAAGAUGAUGCAGUGCCCCACCGACAUCGACAAUUGUGCCA